GGCAGCGUCGACCUGCAGCCAAGCUUUUCACUGGCCGGGAUCCCAUAAGAACUCCGAAGUUAAGCCUGCUUGGGCGAGAGUAGUACUAGGAUAGGUGACCUCCUAGGAAGUCCUUGUGUUGCAUUCC
rnacentral:rRNA from 1 species